GCGAGCUCCCUGCUUAACAGAAGGCUCAGUUGCCCAAGUGACGAAGGCAUUGUGGGGCACGAACCAGGCUUUGGUGAAUUUAUCUCAUUAUACACCAGGAGUUAUAAUUUAAAAACCAGUGUCAUAUAAAGAAGAAAAAAGAUAUGGUGAGAUACAAUACCAUUAACACUUCUUCAGAAACGGAUUUUAAAGCAGAACUUCCAUGACUGUGAAAUCCAACCGGGUGCGCGACCACGAGGAAGGAUGGCGAGGGAGGAAACCGCGCUUUGUUGUUGAGGUGAGCCGGGUGCGCGACCAUAAGGAAGGAUGGCGAGGGAGGAAACCGCGCUUUGUUCUUGAGGUGAGCCGGGUGCGCGACCACGAGGAAGGAUGGCGAGGGAGGAAACCGCGCUUUGUUGGUGAGGUGAACCGCGUGCACGAUCCCGAGGAAGUAUUGCCAGGGAGGAAACCGCGCUUUGUUCUUGAGGUGAGCCGGGUGCGCGACCAUGAGGAAGGAUGGCGAGGGAGGAAACCGCGCUUUGUUGGUGAGGUGAGCUGGGUGCGCGAUCACGAGGAAGGAUCGCGAGGGAGGAAACCGCGCUUUGUUGGUGAGGUGAAACGGGUGCGCGACCAUGAGGAAGUCUGGCGAGGGAGGAAACCGCGCUUUGUUGGUGACGUGAACCGCGUGCACGAUCCCGAGGAAGAAGGGCGAGGGAGGAAACCGCGCUUUGUUGGUGAGGUGAACCGGGUGCGCGACCAUGAGGAAGGAUGGCGAGGGAGGAAACCGCGCUUUGUUGGUGACGUCUCAACUCUGCGUGCGACUGGACAGAGGAAGCCAUGAAACAUCAGGGCACAGCUGCUGGGGCUUCAGGUCUCCUGCUUCUGUCCACAUGCAGACCCUGC
rnacentral:lncRNA from 1 species